rnacentral:rRNA from 1 species
GUGCCAGCAGCCGCGGUAAUACGGAGGGUGCGAGCGUUAAUCGGAAUUACUGGGCGUAAAGCGCACGUAGGCGGUCGUGUAAGUCGGAUGUGAAAGCCCUGGGCUUAACCUGGGAACUGCAUUCGAUACUGCAUGGCUAGAGUAUGGGAGAGGGAAGCGGAAUUUCCGGUGUAGCGGUGAAAUGCGUAGAUAUCGGAAGGAACACCAAUGGCGAAGGCAGCUUCCUGGCCCAAUACUGACGCUCAGGUGCGAAAGCGUGGGGAUCAAACAGGAUUAGAAACCCGCGUAGUCC